GGCGCCCAAUGGCUCAAUGGUAGAGCAGGCACACCAUAUGCAAAGGCUACAGUCCCCAACACUGUUGUCCCAGGUUUGACUCCUGGCCCUGGGCCA